rnacentral:lncRNA from 1 species
GGGUCCAUUGCUUUUAAAUUGCUUAAGUAAUAUUGUUUGAAUGAUUUAGGUCCGUAAUUGCUUAGGUUGUUCAAAUACACAUUUAAUCAAAUUGCAUAAUCUAAACUUGACCACGCGGUUGGCAAGGAUAGAAUUGGGUUCCUCUAAGUCUUAAUGCAGUCAACAGUUGAUCGAUGCUACAAUGCCCCAAGGACGUUCCUUGGCAACUUGUUGAUUAGUGUUUGAUUAGCGAACGUUUCCUAAUCAAACUAGAACUAAGGAGGAAUUUGGAUUGUGAGAAGCGUCUUCCACAUCCUAAACUAAUUUAUUGAGAUAAAUAGGAGUAUUUAAGAAUCAAUGAUCAAUUCUAAACAAUCUGAAAUAAGAUCCAUACUUCAACUAGAAGCUUUUCUCUUAUUGAUUUACUCAUCUUUAAAUUAUUGCUUUCUUUUGCUAUUUAGUUUUAAUUCAUCAACUCAAACCCCCCUCUUUUAAUUAUUUGUUAUUUACUCAUCUUGGUUAUUAUUAGGAAGAUCUUUAGUGUCAAUUCCCUGUGGUUCGACCCUAUUGCCACUAUCUACAAGUUUAUUGUU